UACGGAGGGUGCGAGCGUUGUCCGGAAUCAUUGGGCGUAAAGGGCGCGUAGGUGGCGGGACAAGCGUGCGGUGAAAGCUCGGGGCUCAACCCCGGGUCGGCCGUGCGAACUGUUUUGCUUGAGCACUGUAGAGGCAGGCGGAAUUCCGGGUGUAGCGGUGGAAUGCGUAGAGAUCCGGAAGAACACCGGUGGCGAAGGCGGCCACCUGGACGGUAACUGACGCUGAGACGCGAAAGCGUGGGGGAGCAAACGG
rnacentral:rRNA from 1 species